GGCCCGUUGGUCAAGUGGUUAAGACACCGCCCUUUCACGGCGGUAACAUGGGUUCAAAUCCCGUACGGGUCAU
rnacentral:tRNA from 1 species